GGGUUGUAAGCUCUUUUGUCCGGGACGAUGCUGACGGUACCGGAAGAAUAAGCCCCGGCUAACUUCGUGCCAGCAGCCGCGGUAAUA
rnacentral:rRNA from 1 species